CGCUACCGCGGGCAGUUUAUCGAGUUUGUUUAGCGAGUGUUAAACCUGAUAAGACUCUCUUACACUCCUUACUGAGACAGCGCCGCCUGCCGGGUGACGCUUUCAGCUCCCAGAAACGAGGAUUUUCAGCUGCGUAGCUGACUAACGAUAACUACUGACUGGACCGAGUGGAGUGGAGACUGGUUUUACGACUGGAGUCCCGACUGCAGCGGUCAGAGUCUGCUUUUAAAAGAUGUUUCUCAUCAGAAAUCAUCUGAAGCUGAGCAACUGGAACAUUCUCUCUUUGGGCCUCAUCCAGUAUGGUGGCAGUCCAUAUCAUUCUCAACACUCAACUGUGCUCUUACCCAAGUGGCCUCAUCCUGAUGCUUCUUUCAUUACACUGAACAUCAUUGUCUGAACAUCAGCUAUGCGUGUGAGCUGGGUGCCACACUGGAGUUCAUGCAUAGGUAUUAUUUAAAGCCUUGUCACAUUUCUUUGUGUACUAAAUGCCUGAGUUGAUUUUAGAUGAGUAAAAUUAUGUAUACUGUACAUUAUAUUCUACUUAUAAAGGGAAUAUAUAAUGCUUUCCCUUUUAUUUACUGUGUUAUGUAGCUUUUUGUGCAUGUAAGAUACAAAGCUGAAAGUAUAUGCCAGAGGGAGAAAUUCUUUCCCACAGAAACCACUUUUCUCAGCUGCCUGAGGGCUGGAGUUCCCCAGCCCUUUUCCUUUGUUACAAGAUGAUGUAAUCCCAUAACACAAUCCUUAUUGCCCACUUAC